GUGACUGCGUACCUUUUGUAUAAUGGGUCAGCGACUUAUAUUCUGUAGCAAGGUUAACCGAAUAGGGGAGCCGAAGGGAAACCGAGUCUUAACUGGGCGUUAAGUUGCAGGGUAUAGACCCGAAACCCGGUGAUCUAGCCAUGGGCAGGUUGAAGGUUGGGUAACACUAACUGGAGGACCGAACCGACUAAUGUUGAAAAAUUAGCGGAUGACUUGUGGCUGGGGGUGAAAGGCCAAUCAAACCGGGAGAUAGCUGGUUCUCCCCGAAAGCUAUUUAGGUAGCGCCUCGUGAAUUCAUCUCCGGGGGUAGAGCACUGUUUCGGCAAGGGGGUCAUCCCGACUUACCAACCCGAUGCAAACUGCGAAUACCGGAGAAUGUUAUCACGGGAGACACACGGCGGGUGCUAACGUCCGUCGUGAAGAGGGAAACAACCCAGACCGCCAGCUAAGGUCCCAAAGUCAUGGUUAAGUGGGAAACGAUGUGGGAAGGCCCAGACAGCCAGGAUGUUGGCUUAGAAGCAGCCAUCAUUUAAAGAAAGCGUAAUAGCUCACUGGUCGAGUCGGCCUGCGCGGAAGAUGUAACGGGGCUAAACCAUGCACCGAAGCUGCGGCAGCGACACUAUGUGUUGUUGGGUAGGGGAGCGUUCUGUAAGCCUGUGAAGGUGUACUGUGAGGUAUGCUGGAGGUAUCAGAAGUGCGAAUGCUGACAUAAGUAACGAUAAAGCGGGUGAAAAGCCCGCUCGCCGGAAGACCAAGGGUUCCUGUCCAACGUUAAUCGGGGCAGGGUGAGUCGACCCCUAAGGCGAGGCCGAAAGGCGUAGUCGAUGGGAAACAGGUUAAUAUUCCUGUACUUGGUGUUACUGCGAAGGGGGGACGGAGAAGGCUAUGUUGGCCGGGCGACGGUUGUCCCGGUUUAAGCGUGUAGGCUGAUUUUCCAGGCAAAUCCGGAAAAUCAAGGCUGAGGCGUGAUGACGAGGCACUACGGUGCUGAAGCAACAAAUGCCCUGCUUCCAGGAAAAGCCUCUAAGCAUCAGGUAACAUCAAAUCGUACCCCAAACCGACACAGGUGGUCAGGUAGAGAAUACCAAGGCGCUUGAGAGAACUCGGGUGAAGGAACUAGGCAAAAUGGUGCCGUAACUUCGGGAGAAGGCACGCUGAUAUGUAGGUGAAGCGACUUGCUCGUGGAGCUGAAAUCAGUCGAAGAUACCAGCUGGCUGCAACUGUUUAUUAAAAACACAGCACUGUGCAAACACGAAAGUGGACGUAUACGGUGUGACGCCUGCCCGGUGCCGGAAGGUUAAUUGAUGGGGUUAGCGGUAACGCGAAGCUCUUGAUCGAAGCCCCGGUAAACGGCGGCCGUAACUAUAACGGUCCUAAGGUAGCGAAAUUCCUUGUCGGGUAAGUUCCGACCUGCACGAAUGGCGUAAUGAUGGCCAGGCUGUCUCCACCCGAGACUCAGUGAAAUUGAACUCGCUGUGAAGAUGCAGUGUACCCGCGGCAAGACGGAAAGACCCCGUGAACCUUUACUAUAGCUUGACACUGAACAUUGAGCCUUGAUGUGUAGGAUAGGUGGGAGGCUUUGAAGUGUGGACGCCAGUCUGCAUGGAGCCGACCUUGAAAUACCACCCUUUAAUGUUUGAUGUUCUAACGUUGGCCCGUUAUCCGGGUUGCGGACAGUGUCUGGUGGGUAGUUUGACUGGGGCGGUCUCCUCCUAAAGAGUAACGGAGGAGCACGAAGGUUGGCUAAUCCUGGUCGGACAUCAGGAGGUUAGUGCAAUGGCAUAAGCCAGCUUGACUGCGAGCGUGACGGCGCGAGCAGGUGCGAAAGCAGGUCAUAGUGAUCCGGUGGUUCUGAAUGGAAGGGCCAUCGCUCAACGGAUAAAAGGUACUCCGGGGAUAACAGGCUGAUACCGCCCAAGAGUUCAUAUCGACGGCGGUGUUUGGCACCUCGAUGUCGGCUCAUCACAUCCUGGGGCUGAAGUAGGUCCCAAGGGUAUGGCUGUUCGCCAUUUAAAGUGGUACGCGAGCUGGGUUUAGAACGUCGUGAGACAGUUCGGUCCCUAUCUGCC
rnacentral:rRNA from 1 species